rnacentral:lncRNA from 1 species
CAAAAAUGUGACAUUCAGCAACAUCAUUAUUCCCUGACACAGGAAAUCAUUAGGCAAAAUCAAUAUUUUGGGCAAAACCUAAUAAAACUAGGUAUGUUCUGCCAGUAAAGUGCAAUUCAUUUUUAUUUACAGUGGUAUUACACACCAUUUGAAGAGUUUAAAGAAGCAACUGUUGAUAUUUCCCCAUACGGGACCAAAGAAAUGACGAAGAAAAAGCUUGAAACUGUAAUCUUGGGUAUGAGAUGAAAUGUUUUGAAUGCUCUUGAAGCUGCAUUCUCUUUAGAAAAUGUUUCAAAGGUGGUGAAAGAUGUUGCUCACUACCAACUGAGAUGAGAGAAUCUACCAUUUUGAUAGAAAUACCUUGGGCAAGACUGCUUGCAGAAAAUCACCAAGAAGACAUAGAAGCCAAUUUUGUCCAUCAGCCUAUCCUUCCUCAUUUCAGCUUCACAAGUCAGAAAGUGAUGAUUGGAAGAUCAGGAACCAGUGCAGCCUAAUGCAGCC